rnacentral:rRNA from 1 species
AUUGAACGCUGGCGGCAGGCUUAACACAUGCAAGUCGAGCGGGGUGAUGGUGCUUGCACUAUCACUUAGCGGCGGACGGGUGAGUAAUGCUUAGGAAUCUGCCUAUUAGUGGGGGACAACAUCUCGAAAGGGAUGCUAAUACCGCAUACGUCCUACGGGAGAAAGCAGGGGAUCACUUGUGACCUUGCGCUAAUAGAUGAGCCUAAGUCGGAUUAGCGAGUUGGUGGGGUAAAGGCCUACCAAGGCGACGAUCUGUAGCGGGUCUGAGAGGAUGAUCCGCCACACUGGGACUGAGACACGGCCCAGACUCCUACGGGACGCAGCAGUGGGGAAUAUUGGACAAUGGGGGGAACCCUGAUCCAGCCAUGCCGCGUGUGUGAAGAAGGCCUUAUGGUUGUAAAGCACUUUAAGCGAGGAGGAGGCUCUUUUGGUUAAUACCCAAGAUGAGUGGACGUUACUCGCAGAAUAAGCACCGGCUAACUCUGUGCCAGCCGCCGCAGUAA